rnacentral:rRNA from 1 species
GACGAACGCUGGCGGCGUGCUUAACACAUGCAAGUCGAACGGAAAGGCCUCUUUCGGGGGGUACUCGAGUGGCGAACGGGUGAGUAACACGUGAGUAACCUGCCCUUAACUUUGGGAUAACUUCAGGAAACUGGGGCUAAUACCGGAUAGGAGCUCCUGCUGCAUGGUGGGGGUUGGAAAGUUUCGGCGGUUGGGGAUGGACUCGCGGCUUAUCAGCUUGUUGGUGGGGUAGUGGCUUACCAAGGCUUUGACGGGUAGCCGGCCUGAGAGGGUGACCGGCCACAUUGGGACUGAGAUACGGCCCAGACUCCUACGGGAGGCAGCAGUGGGGAAUAUUGCACAAUGGGUGGAAGCCUGAUGCAGCAACGCCGUGUGCGGGAUGACGGCCUUCGGGUUGUAAACCGCUUUCGCUCAUGACGAAGCUUUGUGUGACGGUAGUGGGUAAAGAAGCACCGGCUAACUACGUG